UCGUAGGCAGAGUGCGUUGCUCCCGAAUGUUUGGGGCAUUCGCGAUGUCACCAUCAAAGAAGGUUUUUGCUAA
rnacentral:tRNA from 1 species